CGACCCCGUGCGGGAGAGCCGUCCGGUGAGACUGCCGGAGGCGCCGAAGGAGCAAAUCCUCCCCGGAAACUCUCAGGCCCCUGUACCGCAUGGACGAG
rnacentral:ncRNA from 2 species